rnacentral:sRNA from 1 species
UUAGAUGAUUACUAUAUGUGAUUUCUUUCAUACAGUCUUAACAAAUAUAGAGAUCUUCACCAUAGGAGACUAGCUUGAACUAAAUCCUCCAACCUUAAAGCAGUAUGAGAGAGGACGGAUACCAGAAAGAAUCACCUCGGAGCCGCUAUGCCACUAUGAGAAACGUUAUACUAUAGAUAGACAUGAGAUGAUAUUCUAUAAGGAAUACAAUGUUUGAAAAGCAAGAAUAGAUAGAGUUGAAAGAAAGGCGCUCGUAUAGAGCCCUCGACUAUGUAUCGGACAUAUGGCAGGUUGGGAAAGCGCGCUUGGAAAAGAAAGACUAUCCUCGAGGUAAAUGUAAAUCAAUCUAUCUCGCAUUGCCCAAUCUGAAUGCUAAAGGCUCGUAACCCCCUAAAAGGAAACUCACCACCAAAAGAAAAAGGUAGGUUAACUAACGAAACUCAAAACUACAUUUUAAUUCUUGCUCACCGAUAAUCCUUUAUAAAAAAUAUUAUACAGCUGUAUACAGGAUUAUUGGUAUAGCUGUCCACUAGCCGAAAAUCGGACACCAAAUUAUUGUAGACUGACGACCUGUCCUUAAUAGAACCGAUCUGACUCUCUGAACAAUCGGAAUUUCGUACUUCUGUCGGAUCCUCCCUAUCUCCUGAUCGAGCUUGUGUAGGUAGAUGUUGCCUGGUAGGGCCGAUAGUAGUACACUGUGUGGGACGGAGUAAGGGCCCCUCUCAACUCCUACGAGUCGUCCGGCGGAAAAGACUUUCUGAAUGGAGUAAAAGAACUUGGGAUCGUCGAUCUCUUCCUUCAAAAUUUGGAUGAGUCGAUGUCGGUCGAUGGUGUGAAAACACUUCCUGAUGUCGAAUUCUAAAAACCAGCGAGAGAUUCCCCACUCUUCUUUGAUCCGUCUUAGGACCGAGUGGCAGCCUUGACCCGAGCGGAAAUGCGAUGUGUCUGGAAACUCGGGAUCGUAAAUGGAUUCGAGUACCAUUCUGAUCGCCUCUUUCAUGAUCUUUUCUAUAGGUAGAACUACUGUGAGCGGUCUAAACUUCAACCCUUCUUUCUUUCUUCAUAUUGUAAAGGGGGGAAAAGCUCGUUUUUUGCUCCCCUUUUUUAUAAUCAAAGGCCCCCUCCUGCCGUCGUUUCAGUGACUCAUAGGGCUUCCCUCAGUUCAGUCUUUUUGGUUCUUGAAAAUGGUCGCCACCUCUCCUCUUCUUUCAGUCGAUGGGGUUCCUCUCCUUUUAGUCGAGUAAUCAAUACCUCUCCCAGGACCGGAAUGAUUAUCCCUGCCCGAUGGGUCUACAUCCAUCCCUGAAUGUCGUCGGGUACUGUUCACUUCCCCGCCAUUCUUGUAACCGUCACCUGUAAUCCGCGCGGGUGUGUCCGCACCCCCCUGAGUGGACGAGAAAGAAAGGAUUUCUCGGAGCAACCCCCCAGGUUCCAGACCCAGGAGUCAACUUUCCCGUAUGAGCAUUCGGUACAUGUAUCAGUCCGUGGGAAGAGGUGAAAGGGUCACCACUACUGAGGAUCUCCCCCCCCCCCUAAUCUUAGAUAGGUCGUCUGAGGGUUCGCCGCGGUUCAUUGCUGUGCUUACACACAAGGCUACCCUUCUCCGAAAGCUACGCGGGACCACCUACCACUAGUCUUCGGCCGGAGGGGUUUAUUGCACAAAAACGGCCGGGACGCAGGCUCCCGAAGAGGGAAGCCCAACGAAUGUCAGAUGCAAAGUUCCGCACCUCAUUAAGAUCAUAUUGGCAUACUCUCCCAAAAAAAAAAGAGCAGACCCCAUUGAAGACGAGAGUAAGGUACAACAAGGCCAUUUCUGUCCACCGCCCUUCUCACGGAACCGUACGUGGACGUUACCGCUCAUACAGCUCCCAGCCAGCAAGCACAGUUAGCCUUCCUCUACAAGAAAUGGAAAUGUGGAUGAAUCGAAUGAAAUCGAGGAAUUCGGUUUUUCUUUUCAGACAUGAUAAGUAAGAGCAUCCCUUUCACAAAAACCUACGGAUCCCCCUCCUAUCCUGCCACUUCAGCACCUUGUGAUCUUUGAGAAGAUCAUUACGAGCCCUUUCCUAGAAUGUUUUUGUAGAUUCCGAAAAUUCCAGAGUGGAUCAGGACGAGAAUGAAUCCGGGAAUCCAGGGCAUACUCAUCCUGGAGCUUCCGCUCUCCUCUGGGAAGGGCUUUUUUAUGGAUAGAGAGAUGAGUCGAGGGAUUGAUUACUCGACUAAAAGGAGAGGGUAGCCUCCCGUUUGACCGAUUUCUCGGAGUCGGAAGAAGAUCUCUCAUCUGAUGACCCUGAACAAGAAGGAGCUGCUCUCGAUGUGAGAUCAGCAGCAAAAGAAAGAAGAAAAGGGCCAUGAUGAUGAUCCUAUGUUCGUUUUCGCCCUGCCCCUAUGAUGCGCUCCUAGCUCGCAGAGCAUAAGUCAGCGCAAAGGAGAGAUACAUCCUUUAAGACUGUGAAGAGAAUCCUUGGUUUGACCUACGGACUACGUGGGAAAUACGAGAUCUAGGCAAGCCGCUACAUGUUCUCCCCCUUGCCCUUGAACGAUAGAAGAACUACUUAUCUUCUCUUAGAUAGCAGUCGAUCGGUUCUAUGAUCUAUGGUCAAUCAAUAGGCCCACGGAUCUAUUCUUCUAUACGAUAAAUUGCCAUCUCGUAGCACCACAGCCUGGGGGUAAGACUAGAAGAGGAGAUUUGCUUGGUCUUCUGUGCGGAAUCUGCUUCCUAAUCAGUGUAGCUCUUGGGUCAGCUCACAGCUAGGACGUCAUCAGUUCUAAAGGAUUCCUCACUAGGGAGACUCUCUCCUUAUGGGCAAGGGAGGCAGAUUUUGAUGGGGAGAAGGAUUCGGAAUAUAGUUACAUAAGUCCCCUUCCCUCUCCUCAAUAUAGUUUCACUCGAGUCACGUCAGUACCUCUCCUUUUAGUCGCUCGUCGAGACCUCAUCAACUAGUUAAUACCUCCGGACCUCUCCUUUAUCAGUCGAGUUUGUGUUCACAACCUCUCGAGAAACAAGUUCGAGAGUUACGUACUUUCAAUGCUCUCUCUAUUCCUUGCUAAUCAAGGCCUGCAAGGGAACUGGCUACGACUAUAGGCGGGACGACAUGCUUUUAGCUUCCCUGAAAUAGGCGACUUGCUCGCUUUGGCAGGAAGUAUUUUUUUUGAAGAAUUGAACAAAAAAAACUGAAAUUUCUGUAAAUCAUUAAAACGGGACUUUCUUUAAAGAAAAAUGGUCUCUCAAGACGGUACCUUCCAUCAAGAAGGUCCUAUCCAUCGUCUGGCAAAGAGACGCCCAAGAUUUAUAGCAAGUUUUGACUUGAGCGCUGCCACCGAUCGGUGGCCCGUUCCAGUCAUAUAUGAGCUUAUGGCGUGCCUUUUCGGUCAAACGAUGGCAUCGUGCAUUGUCAAUGGUGCCUUAGCACUCAACUCAUGCUCUUUGAAGUCCGUUACUGGACGGCAUGACGAAGUUGUGUUUGUUGCAGGUCAACCUUUGGGUUAUUACGGCUCCUGGGCUCUAUUCGCGUUGUCCCACCAUGCUAUUGUGUGGUUGGCAGCAUUACGAGCAUAUCCUCAUCAGACGAGACCAUUUCUCGACUACGCUUUGUUAGGUGAUGACAUCGUCAUUGCCGAUCGUAGUGUGGCUAAGGAGUACCGUUCUCUACUUGAUGCUUUGCAAGUAGAUAUAUCUGAUGCCAAGUCUAUUGUAUCUGAGACGGGUUGUCUUGAGUUCGCCAAGCGGUUCUGGGUUAAGAUAAUGUCGAAGGACUUAUCCCCAGUAUCUGCGAAAGCUGUGCUUGAGAGCUACUUCCUCGUUGGUACUCAGCAGUUGGCCUAUAAGUACAAGUUAAGUCCUAAGACUUGUUUAAGGUUAAAUAAAGCUGGAUACCGCGUGCUAGGACAAAUGGACACUACACUAAGGCCCUAUCCCGGCGUUUUAGUCGGAUUCAGGCGUUAUCUAGUAAGCUUUUAGUCGGUCCUGAUCGGUUACCACUCGAGUGGUGGAUUGGAAGAGGAUUACCUCUCAGUCCCUAUCUUCGUGGUGUGUUAAUUGCAAGGAUUCGGGAUGGGAUGAAGCUUAAGCAGCUCACGCCCCCUCCCUUGGAGAUGUUCCUUUGUGGAGAGCCAGAAGCACAUAUCGCAGAAAACACCGCUUAUAGACAUUGUAUGAACAAUGGUGUGAGUACGUGGUAUGGUUUGACUUCGUUCCUCGUCGUGCCCCUUCCCACCUAGGAAGAGAUACUAACCCGCAGCUGCACUUGGUGCAAUCACAGCAGAAAACCCUUCUCCUAGACAUUCCUCGGGGGCAGACCACACCACCUCGGAAACAAACAAACAGCACAUGCAGCAACAGAGACAGGCGUUCAUCGCUCACUUACCUGCAUACAUCAUGACAACUUGUUCCCAUCUCACCAUGCAGAGGCGCGUAGCGAGUAACAAUCCGGUCCAUGUGCUGGCUUGGCAUGGAAGGCAACCCUUUCUUUUUCGCAGCGCUACGCGCCUCCACAUUCAGUGAAGAGAUCCCGGACAGGGAAGUCAGAAGGGCAGUUACUCUUCGGACCUAGCGGCCCUGCUUUAGCUGCACUUGGUGGUUCCCCGCUCGGGAUUUUAUACUGGAUUUUUCUUUUAGGGUUAGUGCAAGGUUGGCUUGUGCGAAGUCGACAGGGGUGGUUGAGAAACACGUUUUAUUGGGAUGGGGCAGCAGGCAAUGGAUACCGUUCCCCCACCAGAGCCUGCAGUUGGUAGGCCAAAUCCCUCUGUCCAAGUGAUUGAGUUGAAGCUUUUCAGAGAAAGGGUAAUUUCUGAGUGAAUCAAGAGAAGAUGCUCUAAAUGACCAGAAUUAGGCGCCCUAUCGCUACUUUGUUAUCUAAGGUCCCACAUCGAUCACAAGGUUUUUUUUUCAACGUCUUUGAUUAUUUACUUUCACUUGCACUACUAUGCUAUGCUACCACGGGGAAGUUCUAAAUGGCGAAAGAGAAUCCUUUCAGUCCAGGCACUCAGUGCAGUCCAGACGCUCAGGAGAAGACGGAGGUUAGGAAUGCUGAUUGGAACCAAUACGAUUGCCCAGAGGAGCUUUAUAGGUAUCCAGAGUCCCGCACAAGGAGCAGUUGAGACAGAUGCGGAAGAAGGUGCGGCCGAGACGGUUGAUAGAGAUGAUCCGGCAGGCGGAGAGUUUGAUUGCGACAGUCCAGCCUUUCAUACGAGAAAUGGCGGUGACCGUUUGCCCUAAACAAAUAUCUCAAGAUGUAACACAUAUGCCUUCUCGUAGAGCACUCCCAGAAGCUACCCUGAAGCCUGAUCGUGCUUGGAAAAGGCAUUUCAUUGACCGAACCCGACCCAUCCCACCGAGAGUGCGAACUGCUCUUUAUUCGCUUCAUAGCUGGGCUUUGCAUUGGAACCUCUGAUUGAGCCCGCGGAGUCGCCUUACUGCUUGAGUGAGUAAGCCAUUCAAGAUUGUUGAGCUUGGCUCACUUCAGCUUCAGAGCUCUGGCUAUUGCUUGCUUAGAGGAGGAAGCAGGCGUGUGGUGCUUCCCGCAAUGAAGUGUCUUCCCUUAGAUUCCUCUUUAUACUCAAGAAGAUUAGAAAAACACUCUGUGGAACUGCAAGUGGCGUAUUGGAGACUGCACAGCAAGUGGCGUAGUGGAGUGAGCGAGCAUCUUAUUUGCCCGGAUGGAAUAGAGGUUUAUCCUAUUCUCUGUAAACAGAAAAGGAAGUUGUGCUCAAUGACUGGAAUAAGCUAGUACCAUAGAUUAUUAGCUAUGGACUACUCCUUAAGCUAGAGGAGACUUGUUUGUCUGGGAUAAAUUGUCAUUCUAGACCCGAUUGGAAAGAUUGAAUUGAAAGCAAGAACAUAGACCUGACGAGAAAGACCCACAUUUUGAAUAUUAACUUAUGAUAAUCAAAGGGAGUCGUGGUUACGGGUAAGGUUAGGAAGGGCGGGAAGGACUUCCUUACUAGAAGAGGAUGGUAAGCCAUAUGUGAAGCUGAGGCAAAGACAUUUUAUCUUGAAGAUUUAGCGGAAAUCAAAGUCUAAAGUGCCUUACUGUGCGAAAACGCAUAUUUUACUCUCUGGCCAAGUCUGGAGAUAGACCAGGAAAGACAUCUUCAAACCUGCCCGCUGACACUAGUACUGAAGACUUACUUGAAAGUGGUACUGGCUAGUGGACUGAUGGAGCUGGAGAACGGAAUAGACAUCCAUUAGUUCCCGAAGAAGGCAGGUUUGAGCAAGGAGGCUCAAGAGUAGCUUUUCCUCUUCCUCCCUUUCAUAACACUCCUUCCCCGUCUUACUAGGCGUUAGGUCCUCCAUUGCAUUCUAUUCUCCGGAGCCUACCAACUUGCCCACCUCUUAAUCUCCGCCCGUUAACAUAUAAAAAAUCAGACUCUUGUAGAUUCGCCUCUUUCUUUCCGACUCGCUUCACGACUCUUUUAGUCUCGUUACGCUUAAUAAUCAAAAUAAGCGGAAGCCAACUCUUGAAAAUCUCAGGUUUACACUGCUAGAUCAAAUUCAUACUGAAAUGCAUUACCCUACCUAUCUAAAAAAAAGAGGGCCCUGGGGAGCAUGCCACCCUCAACCCACAAACUCCCAUUCUCCUCAGUCUCCCAGUAUUGGAGACCUACUUACUACAUCUCGACCGGGGGCCUCUCCAGUCUUUGCUUAACAACUUUUCUAUAGAAGGAUUCAAUCCAGCCGCAGGUUCCCCUACGGCUACCUUGUUACGACUUCACCCCAGUCGAAGAUCCCAGCACGGUAUGCCUCAGUCGACGUAAUGCCGGGCAUUCACCUGAUGGUUCCCCAAGCCCCUGAGCUCAUCAAUGAACGGAUUCCACCUUUCACAGCGAGCUGUUCCGAAGUUGCGCCUGAGCACAGUGAAAUGCCUCUUACGGUCAUCUAUAGCGUGCUCCCAGUCGUCAUGUAGAGCCAACUGGAGAGCACGCUUGACAUCCUCUGGAUCCCCGAGAGUUACUCCACGUUGAUGCAAGAGAAUUUGGGCUUUCCGUACCAUGGCCGCCUCCAAAUUCGCGCAGGCGCUCGUGAUAGUCUCUACCUCGGCAGAGAUGCGGUCGUGCUCUUGUGCCCGAGCCUCCCUUUCCCAAGCCUGCUCCUCAGGAAUCGGUUGAUUGACCGACGAGGAGGUACGCCCGGAACUGGCCGAAUCUUCGACCAUAUCGGAUGUAUACGUGAACCACUCAGACGAGGCCCCGUCUUGGUGAUUCACUAUCCCCCCCGAUGAACCGGUAACUGAAAAUGUGCCCAUAAAGACAGUAAAUACAUCCGCGGAGAAUUUACCAAAACCCGCCAAGAUAUGGCUACGUAGAAGAACGAGAAAGAGGGAGAUUUGACAAACAAGGGCUAGAUAGCACCAUUGUGUCAUCCUCUUUCCUAAAUACUGCUUUAAGGAUCUAAAUAGGCAAAUUGAAAAAACCAAUAGAAUCAAGAAGAUUAUAAGAUUGAAACGGGAAACGCUUUCUGAUCCUAGAAAACGUCCGAAAAAACCUGCUACGGAACUACUGAGCAUGGACAAAAAUACGAUAAGUAGAUACAUAAUUUAAUUUCGAGUGUGAUCAAAAACCUAAAAUCAGACAAUUACAGAGCGGCCAGUGAUUGAGUGAUAGAUUUCUCGACGUCCGGAGAACGCUCGACCGAAGAAAUGAGUAACUAACAAGGAAGAUUUUGUUCCCCAACUUGCUUGAUUAACGGGCAUUUUCGGGGACUAGCCCGCUUCUUCAUUAAAAAAGAGGGCGAUUGCCCGGUCCUUGGAAUCAUUUUAGAUCGUAUCCCCAAGCCUGCCUCCACUUUCUUAUGUGAAAGAGGUGCUUGCUUUAUGAGACUGAAUGGAAACCUUCUUUCUUCGAUCAGAAUACGAAUAAGAUCAAAAAGGCCAUCAUUGGGGCAAACAAUGCAAUAGCUUCGGUUAGAGCAAAGCCCAAAAUGGCAUAACCAAAUGAUUGUUUAGCCAAUGAUGGAUUUCGCGCCACAGAAUGAAUCAAAGAACUGAAUACGUUUCCAAUACCGAUAGCAGCUCCCGCUGAAGCAAUUGUAGCAGCUCCGGCACCUAUUGAUUUUGCACCUUCUAACAUCUCGGGUUGAGAAUUAUACUCACGCUUUGUCAUUCACUUAUCUUAUAUCUUAUUGAUUCCUCGUCGAUUCUUACCCUCGUUCCUUUGAUCUUGGACAUCUCACUUGGAAUGCAUUCUUUGCGAUCUUAUACCCACGGAGUGGUAGACUGAAGACCAACUGAAUCUCGACAAAGAGAAGUACAAGCAAGUAGAUCAUUCGACGUCAGAGGGAAUGACUCGUAGCUAGGGUCCCAUCUCUCUUCGAUUAUUCAAUUUGAUCCGUCUUCGUCUUCUCUUAUGAAAUUGAUAGUUUGUGAGAUCGAUUACUCAUAAAUGCUGCCCUUCUCUUAUAUACGAGAGCACCAGAUACACCAUGGAUGGAUACAUACGAUUUCACUUAUCCCAAAAGUAAAGAUCUUAUUCGUAUUCUGAUCGAGGAAAGAAGGCGAGCUAGUUCAACUCAAUGACAACCUCUAGGGCCAAGCCUAUGGAAAGCUUUUCCAAUCUCCUUCCGCAUUCUUUCCUUUAAUAUGCUUGUAUCACAUACCAAUAAGACAUAGGAGGAUCCGAUAGAUUUCAAUCACAUACCAAUAAGACAUAGGAGUUCGUUCCGAACAGAUAAGAUGUUAGUUGGCUAUCAAUCUUCUUUAGCACGAGUCGAUCCCUAUUCUUCUAUAGUUGGUGAGAACUAUGACUUGAACCUGCUCCUUACUUCAAUCUUCUUUUCAAUUCAGAUAUGGAUGGUAAAGUCCAUUCAGAUAUAGAUGGUAAAGGAAGAUCAAGUUACUCGGCUAGACCAUUAUCCAAAGAAUGGAAAGCUAAAGCAAGUCAAAGAAUCAGUCCCAUAAUUGAAUGGCAUCGUCCUUUCUUUCCCCCAUGAAUUGCUUUCUCUCGUACUCAUGCGAUCCCGUCCGACCCCUUUCUACUUGAACUCCUGGUUUUGAUGCUGUGACUUCCCCCAUGAAUUGCUUUUUCUUCUUUUCUUGCUUUCCUGCGUUGCGUACAACUCCUUCUCUUAUUAGAGGGCUCUCACGGCUCCUAUGGUUGAGGAGCGUUGGGCCCAUUCUAAGUUGGAGCGACUCUCCGGAAGAAUUCCUUUGAAGAAAGAUCCAAGCACUCAACUUGAUUGGAGAAGUUAGCGAAAGAGUCUCGAGAGCAAGGCGUUGAGCGGAUCGACUUUUGCUUUCCCCUAAUAAUCUGAAGGGAACGGGUGAGAAUGAAGUUCAGGCUAACCACAGCUCCUUUCGUUUCAGUGGGGGUUGCAGUCUAAUGAGAAAUGAGGGUUGAUCAUCGAUCUGUAGCGAAUCUUUUCUGCCAAUUGACUUUCUUGUCCUUCGCCCUCUAAGCCAUUGGUUAAGUUGGUGAGUCUAAGUCUAAAGAGUAGGGGCGUAGCGAAUUGACUAUUGUGAUCUCUUUAGCUUGAAAUAGGCGCUGGAGUCUGUCUGAGUAUGUAAAAGAUGUGGUGGAUAGGAUAAGAAAGAAACCUUCUACAUCAGCUAAUUCUUCUUCCACGAGGGACUCAAAUAAAGGAGGAUCGGUUUCUUUCCCGUUCAUCGUAUCAUAGGAUUGGGGGUCUCUUCCUGUCCUGAAGAAGCAGCUCUUUGCCUUUCUGCUUCAAAGAAAGAGGGGGAAUGAGCAGAUCAAGCCUUUCCCUUCAUGCACUAGAUGGAUCACUUACAAUGACCAAUACUCCUCGUGAGAAUCUAAGGCGCUUAAGGAAGCAUCUCGAAUCGGGCGUGAAAAAGAUCCAUCUUUGAUUUAUUUCACACAAUUUCGCAAUGUCAACUUGCUCGAUGUAGGCUUGCUCCCAUAUUCUCCACGGUUUAAGGCAAGAUUGGUGGGAAAGGGAUAUUCUCGCAUCGAUUACAAUGAAAUAUUCUCUGUAGCCGACAUAUGUUCCAGUUCGCCAAUAGUAUCCAUCGUUCACAGCUUCUGCCCCUUUUUUGGGGGGCACCCAGCAGUUUACUGUUAAGGACACUAUCGACUUACUGUGAUAUGUCUACAGUCAAAAGCUAGUACUUUAUGGGUAGCAUCUUUAGGGACUCAGAGAUCAGGAAAACUUGAUAGAAAGCCCUAGCUCUAACUUGAUAGAAUGCCCCAGCAAUGGCCAUCGGAGAGGUCCAACGUAAUUUAUUACUCUUAUAAAAGAGGGAACUCGACUGAAAGGAGAGAAGAUAAAUUCCAUUUACAGGCUUUCUACCAAUGACCGGAGACCAGAAAGGGGAAUAGAAGAGAUAAGCCUUGAGCGGUCAGACCAAUUACGAUCGAUUCGCUAAACAUUCAAGAUUCUCGAGAUGAACUGCUAAAAGAAGGAAGGGCGAUAGAGAGAGGUUUUUCACUUUCAACUAAGCUAAGGAGAUUCGGGAUGGGAACCCGCACUCUUUUGACUGAGAGGCGUAGGAGAUAGGGAGUUCCCCGUAAUCCGAAAUAUGAUUUAGUACAGAGGCCGGCCGACCCCAAAGUCCUCCAAGUACUCACUCCUUUCAACGUCCCAAGGGGCAUUAAAGACAUAGAGAUCUUGGAACCAAGGUGUCCUCCUAUGGAAGGAAUAAGACCUUGAAACAAGACCCCCAAAAAAGGGUCUUUAUGGGACCUUUGUCAAGGUCGUUCGCUCUGGGCUUUGGGUUCAACGGGUCGCUUUGAAAAUAAAUAGUCUCAUCACAUCUAAGGUGCAAAGAUUGACCUCGAUGCAUGUCAAAUUUUGAAUGCCUCAUGACCUAUGGUUCGGUCGUGGAAAACCACCAAAGGGUGGUUGGUUGAGAUCUUAAGGAAGAAAUACCGACCCAAAGAUCUGGCAUGUGUCCUUGAGUCCUCUUCUGCCACGUGUCGCAGGGCAGCAAACCUAUAAAAAGGGAUCGUAUCCGAGAAAGUACUCCUGCUAGCACUGAGUGUCUUCUUUCCACUAGGCUGAAAUACGGCUGAUUUCUCACCCGUGCGCACGCAUCUCGCUUCUGGCUCCCUGACCGAUACGACCUUUCUGGGUUUGUUAACAUCCUUCCUUCUCCUUUUGGGUAUUUGCUAUCUUGUGGUCCCUGAUUCUUAGGCUGACCACGUGGUCCUCUUGCGACGUCUGUUGGGAGGUAGCAUCCAAGGUCCGAAAGGCCUUUAUUCCGACCCGACUUGCGGAUCCGGGUUUGGGAGAACCUCCUUCGCCGCCGGUGAGUUUUCUACAUCAGUCUGGUUUUGCUUCGGACAAAGCUCUAUCCGGUGGCCAUAUUCCCCACACUCAAAAACAUAUAAGAUGCAAGCCUUCGUAUUCGACCCUCUGGAUGUCAUCAUUAAGACAAAACUGGGAACUCUUUUUGAAUUUGAAAUCUACCUCCACACACACACGUGCAUAUAGACCCCUAGAUGAAUCCACUGUGCAUAGAUCAGCCCGGACUGCUUUGACCAGUUUCUUUUCUUCCCAAAAAAAUCUGGUUCAUUAACAAAUUGAAUCGUGAUCACUGGGGACGUCUCCUCUCGUUUGACUCGAGUUGCCUUUAAGUCUCCUAAUCACAUGGAUAUAGGUGGGUUAAUUGUUCUUCCUUUCGGAUGAGCUAAUUGAAUCAGAUGAAGAUAUGAGAUCAGUUCAGUCUCAUUCCGUAAAGCCAAAGACGACAUUCCAUUAAAGAUAGAGUGGGUCGACCUUUCAACCAGGACGGUUGGGUGCGCUAAAGCAAAGGCGUCUUAUCAAGGGCCUGCCGCUCCCCUCUUUAGUUGUGACAAGGGAGUGUGCUUAUGAUUCUACUUUGUUGCUAGACCAGGUCUUAAAACGCAAUUAUGACUAGGUCGGGACUGACGGGGCUCGAACCCG